rnacentral:rRNA from 1 species
CCUACGGGAGGCUGCAGUGAGGAAUAUUGGUCAAUGGGCUUACGCCUGAACCAGCCAAGUCGCGUGAGGGAAGAAGCGCCUCGGCGCGUAAAGCCCUGUCAGCAGGGGAGAAAAUGACGGUACCUGAAGAAGAAGCCCCGGCUAACUACGUGCCAGCAGCCGCGGUAAUACGUAGGGGGCAGGCGUUAUCCGGAUUUACUGGGUGUAAAGGGGGCGCAGACGGCGAUGCAAGCCAGGAGUGAAAGCCCGGGGCCCAACCCCGGGACUGCUCUUGGAACUGCGUGGCUGGAGUGCAGGAGGGGCAGGCGGAAUUCCUGGUGUAGCGGUGAAAUGCGUAGAUAUCAGGAGGAACACCGGUGGCGAAGGCGGCCUGCUGGACUGCAACUGACGUUGAGGCCCGAAAGCGUGGGGAGCAAACAGGAUUAGAUACCCCAGUAGUC